rnacentral:rRNA from 1 species
CCUACGGGAGGCAGCAGUGGGGAAUAUUGCACAAUGGGGGAAACCCUGAUGCAGCGACGCCGCGUGAGUGAAGAAGUAAUUCGUUAUGUAAAGCUCUAUCAGUAGGGAAGAAAAUGACGGUACCUGAGUAAGAAGCCCCGGCCAACUACGUGCCAGCAGCCGCGGUAAUACGUAGGGGGCAAGCGUUAUCCGGAUUUACUGGGUGUAAAGGGAGCGUAGACGGCAGUGCAAGUCUGGAGUGAAAGGCGGGGGCUCAACCCCCGGACUGCUCUGGAAACUGUACGGCUGGAGUGCAGGAGAGGUAAGUGGAAUUCCUGGUGUAGCGGUGAAAUGCGUAGAUAUUAGGAGGAACACCAGUGGCGAAGGCGGCUUACUGGACUGUAACUGACGUUGAGGCUCGAAAGCGUGGGGAGCGAACAGGAUUAGAUACCCCUGUAGUC